GAGGGGUGCAAACGUUAUUCGGAAUCAUUGGGCGUAAAGGGUGCGUAGACGGCAUGUUAAGUCAACUGUUAAAUACUCCGGCUCAACUGGAGAUCAGCGGUAGAUACUGGCAUGAUAGAGGGUGGAAGAGAGAAGUGGAAUUCUCGGAGUAGCGGUAAAAUGCGUAGAUCUCGAGAGGAACACCAAUGGCGAAGGCAGCUUCUUGGUCCAUUUCUGACGUUGAGGCACGAAAGCGUGGGGGGGAGCAAACAGGAUUAGAUACCCUGGUAGUCCACGCCCUAAACGAUGAUCACUAGAUGUUGGCUCUGCUUGCAGAGGCAGUAUCGUAGCUAACGCGUUAAGUGAUCCGCCUGGGGACUACGAUCGCAAGAUUAA
rnacentral:rRNA from 1 species